rnacentral:rRNA from 1 species
AUUGAACGCGGGCGGCAGGCCUAACACAUGCAAGUCGAGCGGAUGAAGGGAGCUUGCUCCUGGAUUCAGCGGCGGACGGGUGAGUAAUGCCUAGGAAUCUGCCUGGUAGUGGGGGAUAACGUCCGGAAACGGGCGCUAAUACCGCAUACGUCCUGAGGGAGAAAGUGGGGGAUCUUCGGACCUCACGCUAUCAGAUGAGCCUAGGUCGGAUUAGCUAGUUGGUGGGGUAAAGGCCUACCAAGGCGACGAUCCGUAACUGGUCUGAGAGGAUGAUCAGUCACACUGGAACUGAGACACGGUCCAGACUCCUACGGGAGGCAGCAGUGGGGAAUAUUGGACAAUGGGCGAAAGCCUGAUCCAGCCAUGCCGCGUGUGUGAAGAAGGUCUUCGGAUUGUAAAGCACUUUAAGUUGGGAGGAAGGGCAGUAAGUUAAUACCUUGCUGUUUUGACGUUACCAACAGAAUAAGCACCGGCUAACUUCGUG